AUCGCUUCUCGGCCUUUUGCUAAGAUCAAGUGUAGUAUCUGUUCUUAUCAGUUUAAUUAUCUGAUACGUCCCCUAUCUGGGGACCAUAUAUUAAAUGGAUUUUUGGAACAGGGAGAUGGAAGAAGAGCUUGCUCUGUCCACUCCACGCAUCGACCUGGUAUUGCAGUACCUCCAGGACCGGUGCACCUCUC
rnacentral:snRNA from 1 species